AUUGAACGCUGGCGGCAUGCCUUACACAUGCAAGUCGAACGGCAGCAUAGGAGCUUGCUCCUGAUGGCGAGUGGCGAACGGGUGAGUAAUAUAUCGGAACGUGCCCUAGAGUGGGGGAUAACUAGUCGAAAGACUAGCUAAUACCGCAUACGAUCUACGGAUGAAAGUGGGGGAUCGCAAGACCUCAUGCUCCUGGAGCGGCCGAUAUCUGAUUAGCUAGUUGGUGGGGUAAAAGCCUACCAAGGCGACGAUCAGUAGCUGGUCUGAGAGGACGACCAGCCACACUGGGACUGAGACACGGCCCAGACUCCUACGGGAGGCAGCAGUGGGGAAUUUUGGACAGUGGGGGCAACCCUGAUCCAGCAAUGCCGCGUGAGUGAAGAAGGCCUUCGGGUUGUAAAGCUCUUUUGUCAGGGAAGAAACGGUAGUAGCUAAUAUCUAUUACUAAUGACGGUACCUGAAGAAUAAGCACCGGCUAACUACGUGCCAGCAGCCGCGGUAAUACGCAGGGUGCAAGCGUUAAUCGGAAUUACUGGGCGUAAAGCGUGCGCAGGCGGUUGUGUAAGUCAGAUGUGAAAUCCCCGGGCUCAACCUGGGAAUUGCAUUUGAGACUGCACGGCUAGAGUGUGUCAGAGGGGGGUAGAAUUCCACGUGUAGCAGUGAAAUGCGUAGAUAUGUGGAGGAAUACCGAUGGCGAAGGCAGCCCCCUGGGAUAACACUGACGCUCAUGCACGAAAGCGUGGGGAGCAAACAGG
rnacentral:rRNA from 1 species